ACCUCAGUUCGGAUUGAAGGCUGAAAUUCGCCUUCAUGAAGUCGGAAUUGCUAGUAAUGGCAGGUCAGCAUACUGCCGUGAAUACGUUCCCGGGCCUUGUACACACCGCCCGUCACACCAUGAGAGUUGGAGAUACCCGAAGCCUGUGAGCUAACAGUAAUGAGGCAGCAGUCGAAGGUAGAGCCAAUGAUUGGGGUGAAGUCGUAACAAGGUAAC
rnacentral:rRNA from 1 species